GGUGUCUAUACUCUAUACUAGCAGGCAUUAAUUGUUGAUGGUAAGCUUUGACUCUCUUAUACUAAUGUUUGACAGUGAGUUUUCAAUUCUCUAAAAGUUGGUGUCUAUAUAUACAUGUCAUUUAAGAGACAAAGAUCUACCCUCUAUAUUCAUUCUCAAACAAAAGUUUUGUAAGUUCAUAGUUAAGAAUUGCAAGAACAAUGAAGAAAUUGGCGGGGUCAACUACCAUACAUGGAAAAAGAAAACACGAUGUUGAAGAUAAAGAUGUUGUAGUCUCUGUUCGAUGCAUGGUAUUGUUUGCUUUGCCGCCCAGAUUGUUUUCGCAAGACGAACACCUGCCGCUACCAGAAUAUGAAGCUGACUGCAAAUCUACACCGCCAAACGCACUACGGGAAAGUUGAGGUUUUUCGCCUCUUCAUUGUCGGUUUCCUCACGACGAAGAACCGCAGUGCCAACGCCGGAAUCUGUGGGUAAUCAGUGAGGAGUUGUGAGUCGGUUACAUCAAAGCUCAGAAGUAAUUGGUUAGUCAAAUGAAUAGACAAAAAAAAAAAAAAAAAAAAAAAAAAAAAAAAAAAGGAGAUCGAGAGAGA